CAGAGCAAAUGAGCGAGUCAUGGAAGGCGAAACCUCCCAUCAUUUAAUGCCCAACGGUGAGCGGGGCCGAACUCCACCGAGACUGCCGGUGUUUCCAGUCGAAACCCCUCCAUUUAUUCUCUCCCCGUUCAUUUAUUACCGUUUACUCCCCCACGUACGUCGUCCUCGUCGUCGCAUAUAAGGAGACGAGACGAUGGAGAUUGGAGAAAGAAAGAUCGAGAAAGGAGAGGAAGGAUGGUCGAAGGGACGGUGGAGGUGCUUCUCGUCGGGGCGAAGGACCUCGACAACACCGAUUUCCUCAGCACGUCACUCUCCCUUCUUUCUCCGAUCCCACACCUCCCCUCUUCUUUUUCUGGUUCUUGACGGAAGAUCAUCGACCGUUUUAAGAUCUCCAUGAGUGGAUAUGGUUGAUUUUCCCCCCUUUUGGUGUUUAGGGUUGAGGAUGUUAAUCUUUUUCCACGAAUUAUAGUUUUAAGGUCUUUCGUGGAGUUUGAUCGAAGUUUAGACAGUCUAAAGAUUUCGAUGACAAGAGAUUCGUGAUCUUUGGCGCGGUUAGGGAUGGAGAUUAAUUUGUUCUUGGUGAUUUUUAAUGGAAGUUGAAAAGAUUUAGUAGUCAUGAAAAUUCUUUAAUCGGUUUUUUUUUUUUCCUCUUUCUUUUGCUCUUAAGGCUGAGGAUUUGAGUUUGUUCGUGAGAUCUUGAUGCUCGGGUCUUUGGUGUUGUUUCACAGAAGUUUGGAAGUUUGGGACAAGAUAUGGAUUUUAUAUCUUGUUUUGCUUCGAUUUGUUAUAUGAUUUUUUCAUUGUUGUUAUCAGUUUCUGCAAUGUGGUUUGUUGGUCCUGCCCACUGGAGAAAGGCACGGCUCCGUGAAACUGACACAAACUAGGAAUUUUGUUCUUGUAACCUAGCAGCAACCUAAAAAUCUUGGGCUGGAAUGAGAAUAGUGUGAGAACAUAGACAUAAAUGGAAUCAAGAUUACGUCGCGGACUAUGCCUGGAGUAGUGUGAGAUCAUAUGGUCAUAUUGAACCAGUUUCUUUUGAAAUUUCUUGCUUGUAAAAUGUUUGCGUUUAAUCGAUACAGGUGCUGGAAGUAAUCCUGAAUGUAACAAGACCUUGUAUUCACUCUGUCUGGCUGUUUUUUAGAGCUCACUAUCAAGCUCAUGGACAGUGAUUCUUUUUCAAAUGAUGAUUUUGUGGGAAAAGCAAAGAUUCCUCUUCAGCCACUGUUUAUGAAACGAAGACUUCACCAACUGCUGAUAAUGUGGUCAAGGAUUACGAAUAUCAUGGAGAAAUCAAAGUCGGUCUUACCUUCACCCCAAUCGGCUGAGUUGGAUAAAUUGGGUGCUCGUGUCCUUUGCUCGCUGCCUGAUAUCCUUUUUCAACCUGAACUGUCUCUGCUUACCUCUGCAAAUAUGGAUAUCAUUGAAACCCUUCUCACAGUUAUCUGAAAAACGGAACCAAGACAUUCCUAAGACCAGGGACCCAUAAACUUCAAGUGAACAUUAUAUGUAUGAAGAUAGCUGUAAUCUUUUGAUUUACCCUGCCUCAUUUAGAUUUUUUGGUUGGGCAAUCCUUAUGCAGUUAGUGAUCAUGUCCAGUUUAUCCGAAACCAAGGCUAGGACUUUUCGAUUGUGGAUAAAAAUUAUUGGACAUGGAAUAAAUUGCAUAAAGAAGAUUGCUCUUUUUGAGAAAAUUGGGGCAAGUUGUGAUUGAUGACAGAUGUCUAUGAUUUCAUUUGGAGCACUUGAUUUCAUUUCUA